rnacentral:rRNA from 1 species
AACAAGGUCUCUGUUGGUGAACCAGCGGAGGGAUCAUUACUGAGUUUACGCUCUAUAACCCUUUGUGAACAUACCUAUAACUGUUGCUUCGGCGGGUAGGGUCUCCGCGACCCUCCCGGCCUCCCGCCUCCGGGCGGGUCGGCGCCCGCCGGAGGAUAACCAAACUCUGAUUUAACGACGUUUCUUCUGAGUGGUACAAGCAAAUAAUCAAAACUUUUAACAACGGAUCUCUUGGUUCUGGCAUCGAUGAAGAACGCAGCGAAAUGCGAUAAGUAAUGUGAAUUGCAGAAUUCAGUGAAUCAUCGAAUCUUUGAACGCACAUUGCGCCCGCCAGCAUUCUGGCGGGCAUGCCUGUUCGAGCGUCAUUUCAACCCUCAAGCUCUGCUUGGUGUUGGGGCCCUACAGCUGAUGUAGGCCCUCAAAGGUAGUGGCGGACCCUCCCGGAGCCUCCUUUGCGUAGUAACUUUACGUCUCGCACUGGGAUCCGGAGGGACUCUUGCCGUAAAACCCCCCAAUUUUCCAAAGGUUGACCUCGGAUCAGGUAGGAAUACCCGCUGAACUUAAGCAUAUC